rnacentral:tRNA from 1 species
GCUUCUGGGGUAGCUCAGUCAGUAGAACAUGAGACUCUUGAUCUCAGGGUCGUGGGUUCGAGCCCCACCUUGGGCA